rnacentral:rRNA from 1 species
UUCCGGUUGAUCCUGCCGGACCUUACUGCUAUCGGGGUGGGACUAAAACAUGCGAGUCGAGCGUCUCUAGCUAUGUUGAGACGCGGCAGACGGCUCAGUAACACGUGGCUAACCUACCCUCAGGACGAGGACAAACCCGGGAAACUGGGGCUAAUACUCGAUAGGUGAGUAUGUCUGGAAUGAUUUCUCACUCAAAGGGCUUUAGAAACAUGCUUCUAAAGUCGCCUGGGGAUGGGGCCGCGUCCGAUCAGGUUGUUGGUGAGGUAAUGGCUCACCAAGCCUAUAACCGGUACGGGCCGUGAGAGCGGUAGCCCGGAGAUGGGUACUGAGACAAGGACCCAGGCCCUACGGGGCGCAGCAGUCGCGAAAACUCCGCAAUGCACGAAAGUGUGACGGGGCUACCCCGAGUGCCAUCCGCUGAGGAUGGCUUUUCUUUGGUGUAACUAGUCGGGGGAAUAAGGAGAGGGCAAGACUGGUGUCAGCCGCCGCGGUAAUACCAGCUCUCCGAGUGGUAGGGAUGAUUAUUGGGCUUAAAGCGUCCGUAGCCGGCUUAGCAAGUCUCCUGUUAAAUUCAGCGACCUAAUCGUUGAGCCGCGGGAGAUACUACUAGGCUAGGAGGCGGGAGAGGUCGACGGUACUUCUGGGGUAGGGGUGAAAUCCUAUAAUCCCGGGAGGACCACCAGUGGCGAACGCUGUUGACUAGAACGCGCUCGACGGUGAGGGACGAAAGCUGGUGGAGCGAACCGGAUUAGAUACCCGGGUAGUCCCAGCCGUAAACGAUGCGGGCUAGGUGUUGGGGUGGCUACGUUGCCACUUCAGUGCCGCAUGGGAAGCCAUUAAGUCCCGCUGCCUGGGGCAGUACGGCGCAAGGCUGAUACUUAAAGGUAGUUGCGGGGGUGCACCACAAGGCGUGAAGCUUGCAGGUCAGUGGGACUCACGCCGGU